rnacentral:lncRNA from 1 species
UUUCAGAGAAGUGGAGGCUGAGAGAACCUGUUGCCAGCAGAAUAUGCCAUUGUACAAGAGAUGUUAAAGGGAUGUCUUCAGGCCAAGAAAAUUGAUGCCCAAGAGGGAUUCAGAUAUACGAGAAGGAGUAAGAAAGUUGGAAAUAUAAUAUACAUAGGCAAGAACUCAGCAAUGGAAUGAUUUGCCUAAAGCCAC